AUUUUAUCUGAUUCUCAAUGUUCUUCUGAUCUUGGUUCUAACAGUUACUACUCUAACUCUAUGCUGUGUUCUGGUUAUGCUGCUGGGGGAGUAGAUGCCUGCCAGGGUGACAGUGGAGGACCAUUUUUCUGUCAACGAAAUGGUGUAUGGGAACUCGUUGGUGUUGUAAGCUGGGGCUAUGGAUGUGCACGACCUGGUAGACCAGGAGUUUACGCUGAUAACUGGGAUCUUAGAUCUUGGGUGAA